GGUGAACGCUGGCGGCGUGCUUAAGACAUGCAAGUCGAACGGCAGUCUUCGGACUGUAGAGGCGCACGGGUGAGUAACGCGUAACUGACCUACCCCACAGUCGCGGAUAACGAUUCGAAAGAAUCGCUAAUACGUGAUGUGCUGUCAGAUUGUGUUCUGCCAGUAAAGAUUGAUUGCUUUGGGAUGGGGUUGUGUUCCAUCAGCUAGUUGGUGGGGUAAAGGCCCACCAAGGCGACGACGGAUAGCCGGCCUGAGAGGGUGGCCGGCCACAGGGGCACUGAGACACGGGUCCCACUCCUACGGGAGGCAGCAGUUAGGAAUCUUCCACAAUGGGCGAAAGCCUGAUGGAGCGACGCCGCGUGAGGGAUGAAGGUCUUCGGAUCGUAAACCUCUGAAUCAGGGACGAAAGACACUUCGGUGGGAUGACGGUACCUGAGUAAUAGCACCGGCUAACUCCGUGCCAGCAGCCGCCGUAAGAC
rnacentral:rRNA from 1 species